AUUGAACGCUGGCGGCAGGCCUAACACAUGCAAGUCGAGCGAGCGGCGGACGGGUGAGUAAUGUCUGGGAAACCGCCUGUUGGAGGGGGAUAACUACUGGAAACGGUAGCUAAUACCGCAUACCAUCAGAUGUGCCCAGAUGGGAGUAGCUAGUGGGUGGGGUAACGGCUCACCUAGUCGACGAUCCCUAGCUGGUCUGAGAGGAUGACCAGCCACACUGGAACUGAGACACGGUCCAGACUCCUACGGGAGGCAGCAGUGGGGAAUAUUGCACAAGGGGCGCAAGCCUGAUGCAGCCAUGCCGCGUGUGUGAAGAAGGCCUUCGGGUUGUAAAGCACUUUCAGCGGGGAGGCGUUACCCGCAGAAGAAGCAACGGCUAACUCCGUGCCAGCAGCCGCGGUAAUUC
rnacentral:rRNA from 1 species